AAUGAACGCUGGCGGCGCGCCUAAUACAUGCAAGUCGAGCGAGAAGACGUAGCAAUACGUUUGUAAAGCGGCGAACGGGUGAGGAAUACAUGGGUAACCUACCCUCGAGUGGGGAAUAACUAGCCGAAAGGUUAGCUAAUACCGCGUACGCUCCUUGGACUUCGGUUCAGGGAGGAAAGCGAUACCGUGGGUAUCGCGCUCUUGGUUGGGCUCAUGUCCUAUCAGCUUGUUGGUGAGGUAACGGCUCACCAAGGCUUCGACGGGUAGCUGGUCUGAGAGGACGAUCAGCCACACUGGCACUGCGACACGGGCCAGACUCCUACGGGAGGCAGCAGUAAGGAAUAUUGCGCAAAUGGG
rnacentral:rRNA from 1 species